rnacentral:pre_miRNA from 1 species
GGGAGGAGGCCAGAUCCUGGGCUGUGUCCUGGCGCCCAGUGCUCCGGGGCCUGCGCUGUUGCCGGGCAGCCCCCUCCACAGAGCCGCCGCCU